rnacentral:rRNA from 1 species
CACGUAGGGGCCAAGCGUUGUCCGGAUUUAUUGGGCGUAAAGAGCUCGUAGGCGGCUUGUCGCGUCGACUGUGAAAACCCGCGGGCUCAACCGCGGGCUUGCAGUCGAUACGGGCAGGCUAGAGUUUGGUAGGGGAGACUGGAAUUCCUGGUGGUAGCGGUGGAAUGCGCAGAUAUCAGGAGGAACACCGAUGGCGAAGGCAGCUCGCUGGGACGGUGACUGACGCUGAGGCGCGAAAGCUAGGGGAGCAAACGGG